UAUAGUGAAUUUUCCUUUUAAGUGAAAAGGCUUAAAUUUUUGUAAAAGAAGAGAAGACCCUAUCGAGCUUAAUUAUAUAUUAAUUGGUUAUUAAUUUUUGAAUUUUUAUUGGGGCAAUAGAGGGCUAUAAUUAACGCCUUUUUGUGUUAUGAAGAUCCUAUUUGAUAGAUAAAAAGCAAAAGCUACCGUAGGGAUAACAGCGUAAUUUUUUUUUUGAGAUCGUAUUGGAAAAAGAGUUUGCGACAUCGAUGUUGAAUUAAGAGUUUCUUAUGGUGCAGCCGCUAUAAGGGUAAGACUGUUCGUCUUAUAUUUUCUU
rnacentral:rRNA from 1 species